ACAUCUCACCAAAUUAAAGCGCUGAACUUCACUAGGGUCACUGGAGGAGCCUUUGAAAAGUUUCAAUAGGAAACAGCCUAAUUGGAGCUGGGAUAGAACACAUUGGAGAAGGAGGAGACUGAACAGGGAGACCCAUCAGGAGUAUCAGUAAUUCAGGCUGAAGAUGCAGAAACAGCGGCAGGCCCUGAGCAGCAGGGAAAAAAAGGGAAAGUUGAGAGCCACGUGGGAAGUAAAAAGGACCCACUGGCAACUGAUUAGAUGUGAGUGUGGAGGAAGGGAGAAUAUGUGCUUAAUAAAUAUUUAUGGUGGGAUAGUAUUUUAUGUUUUAAAUGAUUUAUUUCCUCAUCCCAUAUACAAAAUACCUUGUUUUUCCUUGCUCGGUUAGCUAGGGCACUUCCUCCUCUUUGUCCUGAAGUUAGAGCUAUUGAUGAAGAACCAAACAGAAAGAAAAAUGUCACUGUCACUGAUACAAGUUCCAGAACAGGGUCUCGGUCACUUUUCUAUUUCCAAUAUUUAAAAUAGAGUCUGACACGUCCUGGGGUCCAACAAAUAUUUGUUGAAUAAAAAAAAAAGCUGGGAAUUGAAUUUCAAAAGAGAGUUUUGGAGAUUAUGGUAUAGACAAUAGCUUUCAGGCAAAAAGUUUUUGAGUAAAUGGCAGCUUGGUUUAAACAUCAAGAGCUGAGGUUCUGGCCUAAACCAGAGGCAUACAGAUAAUUGUUAUCAUGCUAUGCAGAUGAAAAUAAUCUCACAGGCUGGGGUAGAGUGUGGACAGGGUUCUGAGCCGGACCCCCAGGGGUUAGCUCUAAGGAGGGGAGAGGAACGAUGGAACUCUCUGAAGAAUUUGAGGAUAAGUGGGAGGACUGAGGCUCUACUUCCCCUUGGAAUACACAGGCGGUCCCCACAUGAGAGUAGAUACCUGGAUGGCAUGGUUCAGCUGAGGACUGGAGAGAGCUCCCCCAGUGUCUAGUGACCCAGAGGGACACAGAAGAGCAUCUUACCUGAGAUGCAAGUGAAAGCUUAGAUCAUUCUUAAUACAUAUCUGGGAGCCAGAGUCUAAGGGGAGAGAAGGAUGGAACAUUUGACAUUUGAAAGUCUUCAGGGAGUACUGGGCAAUUAAAAAUUCAAAAGGAAAAGGGCUAUGAGAAGUGUUUUGGGGGCUUUGAGUUGGGUCCCUUUUAG
rnacentral:lncRNA from 10 species